UACGUAGGGCGCAAGCGUUGUCCGGAAUUAUUGGGCGUAAAGAGCUCGUAGGCGGUUUGUCGCGUCUGCUGUGAAAUCCCGAGGCUCAACCUCGGGCUUGCAGUGGGUACGGGCAGACUAGAGUGCGGUAGGGGAGACUGGAAUUCCUGGUGUAGCGGUGGAAUGCGCAGAUAUCAGGAGGAACACCGGUGGCGAAGGCGGGUCUCUGGGCCGAUACUGACGCUGGAGGAGCG
rnacentral:rRNA from 1 species